rnacentral:rRNA from 1 species
UACGAAGGGGGCUAGCGUUGCUCGGAAUCACUGGGCGUAAAGCGCACGUAGGCGGAUUGUUAAGUCAGGGGUGAAAUCCUGGAGCUCAACUCCAGAACUGCCUUUGAUACUGGCGAUCUCGAGUCCGGGAGAGGUGAGUGGAACUGCGAGUGUAGAGGUGAAAUUCGUAGAUAUUCGCAAGAACACCAGUGGCGAAGGCGGCUCACUGGCCCGGUACUGACACUGAGGGACGAAAGCUAGGGGAGCGAAUGGG